rnacentral:rRNA from 1 species
UGGGGAAUAUUGCACAAUGGGCGCAAGCCUGAUGCAGCCAUGCCGCGUGUAUGAAGAAGGCCUUCGGGUUGUAAAGUACUUUCAGCGGGGAGGAAGGCGAUAAGGUUAAUAACCUUGACGAUUGACGUUACCCGCAGAAGAAGCACCGGCUAACUCCGUGCCAGCAGCCGCGGUAAUACGGAGGGUGCAAGCGUUAAUCGGAAUUACUGGGCGUAAAGCGCACGCAGGCGGUGUGUCAAGUCGGAUGUGAAAUCCCCGGGCUCAACCUGGGAACUGCAUUCGAAACUGGCAGGCUAGAGUCUUGUAGAGGGGGGUAGAAUUCCAGGUGUAGCGGUGAAAUGCGUAGAGAUCUGGAGGAAUACCGGUGGCGAAGGCGGCCCCCUGGACAAAGACUGACGCUCAGGUGCGAAAGCGUGGGGAGCAAACA